rnacentral:rRNA from 1 species
AUUGAACGCUGGCGGCAGGCCUAACACAUGCAAGUCGAGCGGAUGAAGGGAGCUUGCUCCUGGAUUCAGCGGCGGGCGGGUGAGUAAUGCCUAGGAAUCUGCCUGGUAGUGGGGGAUAACGUCCGGAAACGGGCGCUAAUACCACAUACGUCCUGAGGGAGAAAGUGGGGGAUCUUCGGACCUCACGCUAUCAGAUGAGCCUAGGUCGGAUUAGCUAGUUGGUGGGGUAAAGGCCUACCAAGGCGACGAUCCGUAACUGGUCUGAGAGGAUGAUCAGUCACACUGGAACUGAGACACGGUCCAGACUCCUACGGGAGGCAGCAGUGGGGAAUAUUGGACAAUGGGCGAAAGCCUGAUCCAGCCAUGCCGCGUGUGUGAAGAAGGUCUUCGGAUUGUAAAGCACUUUAAGUUGGGAGGAAGGGCAGUAAGUUAAUACCUUGCUGUUUUGACGUUACCAACAGAAUAAGCACCGGCUAACUUCGUG